rnacentral:rRNA from 1 species
CAUGCAAGUCGAGGGGAAACGACAUCGAAAGCUUGCUUUUGAUGGGCGUCGACCGGCGCACGGGUGAGUAACGCGUAUCCAACCCGCCCACCACUUGGGGAUAACCUUGCGAAAGUAAGACUAAUACCCAAUGACGUCUCUAGAAGACAUCUGAAAGAGAUUAAAGAUUUAUCGGUGAUGGAUGGGGAUGCGUCUGAUUAGCUUGUUGGCGGGGUAACGGCCCACCAAGGCGACGAUCAGUAGGGGUUCUGAGAGGAAGGUCCCCCACAUUGGAACUGAGACACGGUCCAAACUCCUACGGGAGGCAGCAGUGAGGAAUAUUGGUCAAUGGACGAGAGUCUGAACCAGCCAAGUAGCGUGCAGGAAGACGGCCCUAUGGGUUGUAAACUGCUUUUAUAAGGGAAUAAAGUGAGAGUCGUGACUCUUUUUGCAUGUACCUUAUGAAUAAGGACCGGCUAAUUCCGUGCCAGCAGCCGCGGUAAUACGGAAGGUCCGGGCGUUAUCCGGAUUUAUUGGGUUUAAAGGGAGCGUAGGCCGGAGAUUAAGCGUGUUGUGAAAUGUAGAUGCUCAACAUCUGAACUGCAGCGCGAACUGGUUUCCUUGAGUACGCACAAAGUGGGCGGAAUUCGUGGUGUAGCGGUGAAAUGCUUAGAUAUCACGAAGAACUCCGAUUGCGAAGGCAGCUCACUGGAGCGCAACUGACGCUGAAGCUCGAAAGUGCGGGUAUCGAACAGGAUUAGAUACCCUGGUAGUCCGCACGGUAAACGAUGGAUGCCCGCUGUUGGUCUGAAUAGGUCAGCGGCCAAGCGAAAGCAUUAAGCAUCCCACCUGGGGAGUACGCCGGCAACGGUGAAACUCAAAGGAAUUGACGGGGGCCC